rnacentral:rRNA from 1 species
GACGAAUGCUGGCGGCGUGCCUAAUACAUGCAAGUAGAACGCACAGUUUAUACCGUAGCUUGCUACACCAUAGACUGUGAGUUGCGAACGGGUGAGUAACGCGUAGGUAACCUGCCUGGUAGCGGGGGAUAACUAUUGGAAAUGAUAGCUAAUACCGCAUAAUAUUAAUUAUUGCAUGAUAAUUAAUUGAAAGGUGCAAUUGCACCACUACCAGAUGGACCUGCGUUGUAUUAGCUAGUAGGUGAGGUAACGGCUCACCUAGGCGACGAUACAUAGCCGACCUGAGAGGGUGAUCGGCCACACUGGGACUGAGACACGGCCCAGACUCCUCCGGGAGGCAGCAGUAGGGAAUCUUCGGCAAUGGACGAAAGUCUGACCGAGCAACGCCGCGUGAGUGAAGAAGGGUUUCGGAUCGUAAAGCUCUGUUGUAAGAGAAGAACGGGUGUGAGAGUGGAAAGUUCACACUGUGACGGUAUCUUACCAGAAAGGGACGGCUAACUACGUG